rnacentral:lncRNA from 1 species
UUUAUCUAUUUUUCUUUUAAGUCUCUUCUUUGUUUUUAUUUUUCAUUGUGUGAUGCUUAUCUUUAAACCUUUGGCAGAGAGGAUAUUAGAUGAAUUAUAUUUAAGUUUUCUGUUUGGGAAUAAUUUCCAUAACCAGAGGUCUCAUGUGUACUCUCUAUGACUUGAUUUAUAAAUAUCGGUAUUACUACACUUGUAUCGAGGGAUCUGAUAAUAAUAAAAAAUUUCAAAUCUUUCCUGCCUCUAAAUUAUUACAAUUACAUUGAAAAUUAUAAAUACAAAAACCUGACAUCAUGGGAGUUAUAUACAUAUACUUAUGAUGCUACAUCCAUCUUGUAAGAAAGCUUGUCUCCUGGACACUUUCUAUGACCUGUGGUUAUGGUAUGAGUGCCCUAACUAAAGCUUUCUUGCCCAGAAAAAAGAAAAACAGGAGAUACAAAAAUUAAAGAAAAAGAGAAAAGAGGCAGAGAGAGAGAAUAAGUGUCCCAAAGGCAACCCAGUUCACAAUUCACAAGACUGGCCAAUUGUGCUAGUGUCCAAGAUGCUGCUGUUGUAGUAGUGUUUGUGUGUGUGUAAUAUUAGAUCAAAAGAUCAAAUAAUUGUUUUGUCUUAUUAACAAGGUUAUUCAUAGCCAUUUGAUGUCAAAAAGAUUGUUAUUUUUAGAGAUAUGGAUGGCAACUAUACAACUUCCCAGAUUUAGAGAGAAGAUAUAAACAUAUAGAGCUAGCUCAAUUAUAUAUCUAUAUCUAGGGCUUCUUUUUUCCCAUUUUUAUAUGGAAAUUAAAGUGUAUUAUAUGUACUACAACUUUUUUGCUUAGUUAAAAGGCAAUUAAAGUGCCUAUUAUAUGAACUACAACUUCUUUCUUUUAGUUAAAAGGCAAUUAAAGUGUAUCCUAAUUGCUGGUUUUAAAGGGGUUAAAAUUAAGAAAACGGUUCCUGAAAUAUGACUUCCUGUUAUAUAAUUAGCAAAAAGACACUCAUUUAAUCAAUGUUACACACAACCUGGAAUUAGCUAUAAGUAUCUAAAGUACAAGUGCGUGAAGAAACAAUUUUUACUGCAUGGUUUUGGCAAUUGAUAUUUAUGGCACACUAAUCGCAUUCAGGAGCUACAGAAUACCAAAUGUUAAUGAUCUUCACGAAGUAUGGUGUAUUUUUCAUGUUUCUGUUUACAAAGGAGGAAAGAUGACUCCAGGUUGAGAUAUGGAUCUCUUACUGUUUAUUUAUUUAUCUAAAAUUUUAACGAAAUUAUUUAUCAAGCAAUAGGAACAAGCUGUUACUAAAUAGCCAUUUUGUCAAUGUUUUUGUUUCAGUUUUAGAUGGGCAUGUAGUUCUAUAUAUAAGGAAGGGCCCUGCCCUCCUGCCCUUGUAAAACAUAAAAGAAACACACAAAUGACAGCACCCACUUGCUCUAGGGGCCCUUGAUCAUUUUCCUAUUGCAUGCUUUGAUAAAAUCAAAAGCAAAAAAGCAAAUGGAAUUUGAAGUUGAAUAGUUAAAUUAAAUAAUUUUUUUCCUUAAAGAAAGAAGAAAAUAAAAAGCAAAGGGAACAUUAUGCAGAUUUAUAUCUUAUCAAGAAUCUGUUCCUAACCCCAUGUAUAUAUUAUCAUUAUCAUUGUCCUUAUUGUUUUUCCAUAGCCAAGUGGAGAAGGAGGCUAGCUAGUGUGCAGCGAUGAAUAAUCUUUCAUGCCCAGAUAUAAUUAAGUCACGCUCAUUGUCAUCACCAUCCUUUGCUAGGUUUAUCUGCAUAAAGGGUUAUAGGCAUAAUCAUAUGCUUUCUUGAUAUCUUGGUUUCUUGAUAGAUUUUCUUGAAUUCUAUACAGACAGAAGACAUACAAACACACGUCUGGCCAGGGAUUCAAGAAAAUUAAAAUAGAAAAAAGAUAAAGAAAAGGGUAUGGAUUCUAGGGAAAGAAAAAGUGUGUAGCAGGAGCAAGAUUAUGAUUAUAGCUACUGGGGAAUCUCAAAUAUAUAUAUAAAGAAUGGACCCCCCUUCUUCUCUUCACAAUAACCCUUUCUCUCUCUAUCUCUCUGUGUUGAUUGGCCACUGGAGAAUAUGUUAUACACGUUAAAAGCAGGUCAAAAGGACACAUUGGUCAGACCAUUUAAGGGACCACAAUUUGAGAUCUCCUGAAAUCAAUUGUGGGAUUUUGGACAGCAAUUAAUCUCAGCUUUUAAUUAUUAUUUUAUUAAAUUAAUAUUUCUUUUUCUUAAAACUUCUUUGUUUUAUUUUUAAACCAAGAAACAGAAAGUGGAGAGAGAGGUUUUGGUUUUAAUUGAAUUGAAUUUAAUAAUCUACAGAGAACAUUCUCCCUGGAUUGAUCAGGGGAUAAAUAGUGAAAAAAGAAGAUGUACUGCUUUUAGUAAAGGACCCACAAAUUUCCUCAAUAUGUUAUGUUGUUACAGGUUGUACCCUUCAGUGUUUCAGAAAGCAGAUUCUAUCCUAUUCUAUCUAAAACUCAUGUGAUGAAUGUAAUGGUUAAAUAUUUCAAGUACAUUUAAAUUUUUUUCUUUCUUACCUAAUUCAUGAUUUCAGGUAUCCAUAUUUAAUAUAUAUGUGCAUUGUACAUUUUGCUUAUACAUGAUAUAAGAAAUUUCCCCUCUCUCUCUCAUAUAUGAUAUAUAUAUAUACAGAGAUAAUGUUUUUGUACUCUGCUAGAGACACAUGCAUCUCUUUUGCCUAUCUUCUUUCAUUAAAAUGGUAAACUUCAACAUCAAUGCUCUGAAAAAGCCUUGUAGAUGUCUACCUUCAUGGACUUUUCUACUAUUUUGGUCGUGUGUAUAAGAAAAAAAACAAACAAUUUAAAUAACUAAACAAAACCCUUUACUUGUUUCUCUUUACCAAUAUAUAUAUAUAUAUAUAUAUAUAUAGAGAGAGAGAGAGAGAGAGUUUGCUUAUGUAUUAUGUUAGUGACGUAUAUACAUAAUCAAGUACUUACCCACUUCAAGAUUUCGUAUCUCUAACAACAAGAAAUUUAUAGUUUCAACUACAGUCCAUGCACAUACACACACAGAAAGAGAAAAGAGAGAGAGAGAGAAUGGAAAUUACUUGUUGCAUCAGCUAAAUUUCAAGGAAACUGCAGUAUCGUACUGUUAUAUGUUAAAGAAGUGUGAAGUACAAGCAUAAGAUUCUUGUGUUACGUACAUACAUACACACAUACAUGUAUAUAUAUAAUCUAUUUAUUCAUAUGAAAUUAAGAUGAAGAGAAAGAAAAGAGACUGCUCUUCUUCUUUCUUUUUUUCUUUUUUGUCCCUUUUAUUGUCUGAUAACUUUUAUUUGUUAGAACAUGCAUUGAUGAUAUAUGGAUUCCCUGCUUAUAUCUUUCAGUGCUUUGAGAAGUUUGAAAUUCACUUUUUCCAUGAGUAUAUCUCUAUUCUUGAAUGCGUAGAAUUUCUUAUAUGAAAGUUGAGAAAUGGGAAUCUAAUUCCCCGUAACACAAACAUCUGUAAUUGGUUUCUUUGAUGUACAUUCUCAAACUUUAUUAUGUGUUUAUAAGAGCUUAUAAAUUUUCUUUUUGUUAUUUUUUCCACCGUGUUUAAAAUCUUAUUGUUUUAAUUCUAUCUUUUCGUUUUCUGAUUAGCUUUAUAUAUAUAAAAAAUAUAUAAGAAUUACAAGGACAAAUAUUAGAUGAUUGGAACUGAUUGUCAUUAGUUACAAGAGUAGCUAUUAAAUGAUUGGUACUAGGCCUGAAGUGGUGUUAAAGCUCUGGUUGUAACUGAAUUUGGAAAAAUUAUUAAUCGGACAAGAUGGUUCAAGGACUGAUCUGAACUAUGAUCUGAACUAAGGAAAUAAAUAUUGUAGAAUCAUUUAAUCGAGGUUAUAUAAUUACAUAUAUAAAUACAAUUUAAAAAUCUUAGAUAACAUAUAUAGUUCGUUUUCUUAAUUACUCAUUAUUAAUUAGAUUAAUUGGAUAAAUAAUUGAACUAAUACUCUUUUUUUUAAUUAGCUAAACAUUUAUAUGUUCAGUUCAUGAAAUAGCCAAGGAAAUAAAAAAGCUAUUGCAUAUGAAAUAAGUAUUCGAGGAUUUUGUUCAAAGUUAAACAAAGAAUAAGUAUUCUAGAAUGCCUAUUCUUCAAUUUUGUAAAGUAUCUAUUCCAUGGUUAAUUGAAUGACUAUCACACCUUAAUCAAUAAUGUAUUUUCUUAAUUAGUUUCUUAUUUUAAAUCCACUUGACAUUAUCAUUAUAUUAUCCACUCACCAACAACACCGUCGCCACCGCUACCACAACCCUGGCCGCCACUACAAUUGCUACUGCUAUUAAAGAUUGAGACCCUGCGGAAUUAAGGCGUGGGAAUGCUUUAACAGAGUUGUGUGGCAUAGAUCUGCAAAGUUAAGAUGUGGGAACAUCUUAAGAGGGUUACGAUUAUUUGUCACUAGUUUUAUUGUAUUCAUCUGUUGCAAUUGUAUUUCGUUUAUAUUUGUCUAUUUGUAUACUACUAGGACUGUAUUAUAUAGGUAUUUCUCUCCUUUAUUGUAUUAUAGAUAGUCUUGUAUUAUAAUUAAUAGUAUACAAUACAUAAUUUUCUACAUGGUACUAGAGUCUCGUGGCUCAAAAUUUUCUUUAUUCAUGGCCAACCAAAUUACUGUAGCAACCUCUUACGCACCUUCAUCCUCCUCCCCCGUCACUCCAACUGCCCAUCAUACUUUCACUAUCAAGCUCACGCCACGCAACUAUCUUCCAUGGAAGCUCAAUUUCUUCUAUUACUUAAUUACCAUAAUAUGGCAGCCUUAUCUCAGGUGUUCGUACAAUACCUUUUGUCACCAUAACAUCUACUAAUACCCAAACACUAACAAAUCC